rnacentral:rRNA from 1 species
CCUACGGGAGGCAGCAGUGAGGAAUAUUGGUCAAUGGACGCAAGUCUGAACCAGCCAUGCCGCGUGAAGGAAGACGGCCCUAUGAGUUGUAAACUGCUUUUGUACGAGGGUAAACGCAGAUACGCGUAUCUGUCUGAAAGUAUCGUACGAAUAAGGAUCGGCUAACUCCGUGCCAGCAGCCGCGGUAAUACGGAGGAUUCAAGCGUUAUCCGGAUUUAUUGGGUUUAAAGGGUGCGUAGGCGGUCGGAUAAGUUAGAGGUGAAAUCCCGAGGCUCAACUUCGGAAUUGCCUGUGAUACUGUCCGGCUAGAGAGUAGUAGCGGUAGGCGGAAUGUGUGGUGUAGCGGUGAAAUGCUUAGAGAUCAUACAGAACACCGAUUGCGAAGGCAGCUUACCAAGCUACUUCUGACGUUGAGGCACGAAAGCGUGGGGAGCAAACAGGAUUAGAUACCCGAGUAGUC